rnacentral:rRNA from 1 species
UACGGAAGGCAGCAGUGGGGAAUAUUGCACAAUGGGCGCAAGCCUGAUGCAGCCAUGCCGCGUGUAUGAAGAAGGCCUUCGGGUUGUAAAGUACUUUCAGCGGGGAGGAAGGCGAUGUGGUUAAUAACCGCGUCGAUUGACGUUACCCGCAGAAGAAGCACCGGCUAACUCCGUGCCAGCAGCCGCGGUAAUACGGAGGGUGCAAGCGUUAAUCGGAAUUACUGGGCGUAAAGCGCACGCAGGCGGUCUGUUAAGUCAGAUGUGAAAUCCCCGGGCUUAACCUGGGAACUGCAUUUUGAAACUGGCAGGCUUGAGUCUCGUAGAGGGGGUAGAAUUCCAGGUGUAGCGGUGAAAUGCGUAGAGAUCUGGAGGAAUACCGGUGGCGAAGGCGGCCCCUGGGACGAAGACUGACGCUCAGGGUGCGAAAGCGUGGGGAGCGAAACAGGAUUAGGAUACC